GACAAAGCUGCAAGGAGUAGUGGUCCCUCCAUACUGUUAAUUCUACAUCUUCAUGAAAACUCAGAGGUGAUACUUCAGUGGUGAUGUGGCUUAUCGUUUGUCUCAGUAAGAUUUAAACAAUUAUCAGUGCUGGAAAAAUAUAAUAAGACUGAUGAUGAUUUUCCUGAUGACUCUAUUUUGCCUUGUGGCACCAGCACCAGGUCUGACAAAGGUUACAUUUUCCGUAUUGCUGCCAGAGGAGAUAUACGCCUUGGCAGGGUCCUGUGUGUUGAUCCCUUGCACAUAUAAUGUCUCUGAGUUUGAGACCAAACUGGGUAAAUCUAGAUCAAUCAAUGCCAUGUGGAUUAAAGGUGGACCACAUAUUAACAGUAAUGUGGUUUUUAAUAGCACAAAAAAUACAACCAUGGAGUUUGAGAGAAUAGAGAUACUGGGGAAACUCCAUGUGAGAAACUGCACAACUGUCUUCUACAACAUCCGCAUGGAUCAUGCAAGCAAGUACCAUUUCAGAAUUGAAAUGGACUCCUCGACUGCUUUCAGAGUAACAUUCCCUAAGUCUUUUCAUCUUACUGUCAAAGAUUCUCCAGUGAGUCCACAUGUAUCAAAUGU